rnacentral:rRNA from 1 species
GAUGAACGCUGGCGGCGUGCCUAAUACAUGCAAGUCGAGCGAACAGAUGAGGAGCUUGCUCCUCUGACGUUAGCGGCGGACGGGUGAGUAACACGUGGAUAACCUACCUAUAAGACUGGGAUAACUUCGGGAAACCGGAGAUAAUACCGGAUAAUAUAUUGAACCGCAUGGUUCAUUAGUGAAAGACGGUUUUGCUGUCACUUAUAGAUGGAUCCGCGCCGCAUUAGCUAGGUGGUAAGGUAACGGCUUACCAAGGCAACGAUGCGUAGCCGACCUGAGAGGGUGAUCGGCCACACUGGAACUGAGACACGGUCCAGACUCCUACGGGAGGCAGCAGUAGGGAAUCUUCCGCAAUGGGCGAAAGCCUGACGGAGCAACGCCGCGUGAGUGAUGAAGGUCUUCGGAUCGUAAAACUCUGUUAUUAGGGAAGAACAAAUGUUUAAGUAACUAUGCACGUCUUGACGGUACCUAAUCAGAAAGCCACGGCUAACUAC